UCCCUUUCAGGGUUGCACCUGGAGAGUCUCCAGUACUCUACCAGUCUCGGCUGUGGGAGGGAGAGUCAAGCAGAGGCCUACCCAUUCCAUUCCUAGCUUGGCUAAUGGCUAGCAAGUGGAAGGCAAUCUGCUACAAGU
rnacentral:snoRNA from 1 species